rnacentral:sRNA from 1 species
UUGAUGAUGUGGUUAAUGUUUUGGACAC